CCUACGGGAGGCAGCAGUGAGGAAUAUUGGUCAAUGGACGAGAGUCUGAACCAGCCAAGCAGCGUGCAGGAUGACUGCCCUAUGGGUUGUAAACUUCUUUUAUAUGGGAAUAAAAUGUUCCACGUGUGGGAUUUUGUAUGUACCAUAUGAAUAAGGAUCGGCUAACUCCGUGCCAGCAGCCGCGGUAAUACGGAGGAUCCGAGCGUUAUCCGGAUUUAUUGGGUUUAAAGGGAGCGUAGGUGGAUUGAUAAGUCAGGUGUGAAAGUUUGCGGCUCAACCGUAAAAUUGCCGUUGAUACUGGCAGUCUUGAGUACAGUAGCGGUGGGCGGAAUGCGUGGUGUAGCGGUGAAAUGCUUAGAGAUCAUGAAGAACUCCGAUUGCGAAGGCAGCUCACUGGACUGCAACUGACACUGAGGCUCGAAAGUGUGGGUAGCAAACAGGAUUAGAUACCCCAGUAGUC
rnacentral:rRNA from 1 species